GGUUGUGGCUCAGUGGUGGAGUGCUUGCCUAGCAUGUGUGAGGCACUGGGUUCGAUCCUCAGUACCA
rnacentral:tRNA from 1 species